rnacentral:rRNA from 1 species
GACGAACGCUGGCGGCGUGCCUAAUACAUGCAAGUAGAACGCUGAAGGAGGAGCUUGCUCUUCUGGAUGAGUUGCGAACGGGUGAGUAACGCGUAGGUAACCUGCCUGGUAGCGGGGGAUAACUAUUGGAAACGAUAGCUAAUACCGCAUAACAGUAGAUGUUGCAUGACAUUUACUUAAAAGGUGCAAUUGCAUCACUACCAGAUGGACCUGCGUUGUAUUAGCUAGUUGGUGGGGUAACGGCUCACCAAGGCGACGAUACAUAGCCGACCUGAGAGGGUGAUUGGCCACACUGGGACUGAGACACGGCCCAGACUCCUACGGGAGGCAGCAGUAGGGAAUCUUCGGCAAUGGACGGAAGUCUGACCGAGCAACGCCGCGUGAGUGAAGAAGGUUUUCGGAUCGUAAAGCUCUGUUGUAAGAGAAGAACGAGUGUGAGAGUGGAAAGUUCACACUGUGACGGUAUCUUACCAGAAAGGGACGGCUAACUACGUG